GCUUGGACAACCGAGCUAAGACGGCGAUGCCACCACCUACUUGUAUCUGUACAGGAACUCCGGUGAUUAUUUCUUUCUGCUGAGCACCUUCAAUUCCCCUUUCCCCAGCUCGAAGGAAUUGGCGCCUCCGUUAGUGACCCCGAGUAGUGAUGCAAUGAUUUUCCAAAAAUGAAGAAGCUUGUCGUUCAACCGAUGACAAAACACCUAGAGUACGUGCAAAAAUUACUACUUCCUCAUUUACAGCAAACUCAUUGAUACGACAAAGGCAAAAUUUUGGGUGGCAAGGUAUAUGAUUAGAUCAUGUGUAAUCUUCUAGAUGCAUUUUUCUAUUCUUCCAUUGUGUUCUUUAGACAUGCCUCUUUUUGUUAUUUUACAUCAGUUAACUGAAGUUCAUAUUAUUCCUUUAUCUGAUUGUAGCUUCAAAGUUUGAUUACAGCAGAGUCAUUGAUACAACAUACACAGUUUGUGAAUUUACCUACUACUACGAGUUACGUCAUAUAGCAAUGUUUUCUUGCCUAGAAAAAUAUUACAUGAAAGGCCUAAUGUCUUGUGAAUGUGUAUAGUAGCUACGAGUAGGUGGUCAAACUGUACACCUUUAAAGCAUGAAUAAGGUGCUAGCUUAUGUGCUGCAGUUGCUUUGCAUUGUUCAGAUGCAAUGUGUUUUCGCUCAGCGGGAGCACUUCUUCUGAUUAUUUAUAAUUUUUAGUUUGCUUCUUAUAAUUUUAAGACAAUUUUUGCGACUUGGAAUGUAUAGCAUCCCCCUUUUCUCACUGGAAAUGACAUGUAAGAACAAACCAGUUCCAGUUCUGGCAUAGUUCUGAUGGUUGAAGUGUAUGUCUAUAUGAUUUAGUAUAUGCAUGGGAGUACCCGCUAAACGAUGAAGCAUAUUGUGUCGUGUUAGCUCCAUCUAGCUUUAUUA